UUGCUCAGGGAAUCCUGCUCCAGGGCGUGCUCACUUGCUGUUAUUGUGUUUUAUUUUUCCUGAGACUGUAAAUGGAGCGGAUAGAAGUUCAGAACCAUCGGUCCCUCUUCUUCCUGGGUCAUCCUGAGCUCGGCAGUGAGAGCACCUACGACUAGGGAGCGGCCGAGCAGAGGGAACAAGGCCGUGCCCGCUAAGGUUCUCCCGGGACGGUGGCGAGCCCACGCUUGCCAGGCAUGACGCCUCGACCUCCAGCGUCCAGAGCGUCCCUUCAUUGGUUCACAGGAACUUUUCACAUGUGUCCGUCCACUUUUCUUAGGAAUAUUUAUUUAGGUGAGGUUAUUCAUUCUGACACUGGAAGAAAAGUGCAAAACCUCGUGUGGACUUCGUAGGUGGAGCAUUUGAGUUAUCAUCGGAAAACUAGAGCCCGGACUGUAUGAGGAAGGUAAUUCAUGUUUACAACUGAUUAUUGCUUUGGGUGAUUUUCUCUAAUGCAAUAAUAAAAAUAGUAGAAAGAAACUUUUCAACUGUGAAACCCAAACUUAAUAUUACUAUAUCAUUAUUAUCAGUCUUUAAACACCUAUUUCAGACAAGUUUUUUAAAAUAUAAAGACAAGACCUAAUAAGAGGUGUGAGUUUUACAAAUAUACCAGAAAAGUGUGUGCCUGAAUAAGUGUUGACCCCUCAGAGUGACCCCUGCUGGUCGCAGGGAACCUGUUCCCAUCACGUCCCCACUCACCCACAAGGCAGCGGCGCCUCCUCGGUGGUCCUGGCGCCCAUGACGCGUUGCUGGGAAAAUCUCCCACCCGGACGUUAACUGUGGGCUUCACUUACUUUCAGUUCCUGGGGGAAGGCUCGACAGAGCAAGCUUUAGUCCCCCUCAA
rnacentral:lncRNA from 1 species